CACAUACAUCCCUAUUGCACUACCUAAUGCAUACUUUCAUUGUCAUGUAUUGCUAAAUACUAGAGUACUCUAAGAUAUACUAAUAUGGAAAAUAGAAAGCAGCAAGCUAAGAUGCUAAGUGUAUUUUAAAUGUAUGUUCAUCUAGUUCAUUUAUUCAUUUCCUGGAAUUGACGGUUAAUGGCUAAAGGCAUAAUUUGCCUAAUUAACUGCUUCAGGGUGUGCGUCAGAGCCUUUUGUGGGAUAUAGUAUAAAAAGGAUGGAAACUGCGACAAAUUACAAAUAGCACAUUUGCUGGAAGUUCACUGUGGCCAACAUGCAACUGCUGUCGAGUGUAUUUCCUCUGAUUCUCGUAGCUUGGAGUGCGACAGCAGCGAUAGCCAUGCCUGCUGAGGAGACGUGGGCACAGUAUAACAGUGGGGGUUUCGCUAAAGAAAGGAAAGACUUCAUUUUGAAGAUUUUAUCCGAACUGUCUGAUUUCAACAUCUUGGGGAAAGAGAUGGCAGCUCUGGACUCUGAUCAGGUUAAAGAAUCCCAGCUUGGUGAGAGAUCAAUCUUCAAUCAAUACCCACCCAAAGAAAGGACUCCCUGCAAAAACUUCUUUUGGAAGACUUUCUCGCCCUGCUAACAUUCAACAACUAAGUAUGUGAACAAGAGCAUUUCUAAAGUGUAAUCUUUCUGACCGUUACGUACGUAUGUACUAUGUAAAGAAAAAAAGUAACAUAUAAAUUAUAUUAAUGAAAAUCAAAGCAAAAAAGUGUUUGGUUUUUUCCUGAACCGAGAUGGAUAUUGGUGGGAUCUUUAAUUGGCCAGUCCCUGGUGUUAUUAUUGAUAGAAGUUACAUUGCAUAUUAAAAAUCAGUAACAACAAACAAGAGGUAAGAAGGGUAUAGCUUUUUCAAGAGGAAUGCCACAAAAACAGUUUGCUUGACAAAGUAUGAACUUGCAUGCAGUUUUAAGAUCUCAGUGAGCAAAUGCAGAACACAAUGAUCCACAUAUUAGCAUGCACAUUAAGCGGUCAAACUGUUGUAAUAAUAAACAAUUAAAAAUAGCCUAAUGUGGAAUUUUAAAUCAACAGCAGAAAGAGAUCAAUGCAAGUUUAAAAUAGUCAGUCUGCUAAGCAACUGGGAAAUUCAAAACAGAAUAUUUUAACUUGACAACACAUUAUUUCUGUUCUGGCAAUUUAGGCACCAUUAGUGAGAUGUAGUUAAAGCUUUUUCAUUAGUACUAAAAGCAUCUAGCUAAUGACAUUUCCACUUUAUUUGGUAAAAAAAACAAAAAAAACAGGUUAUUUGAAAAUAUUAAGUUCAUUAGAUGCAAGGACCUUAAUGUAAAUAUGGGCUGUAGUUGCUGUUGGCUUACAAAUAACCCUAAAACAUGUCACUGUUAAGUAGUAAGGGAUAUUGUGAAGAAAGUGAGCUUCACUAGAGGAAUACCAUAUUUAACAAGGGACUAAGCAGGUGUUGCACGGUGGCUUAACUUCCAGAUAAAGUACAACUGCAUAACCUGCAACAAUUUACUGCACUUCCAUGUGCUUUGUUUUAGGAAACGGCAAAUAAAAGGAUCAACAUUAGUAACCCAAGUUUUAUUAAUUUAUUAACAUUUUUCUCACCAGAUUAACCCAUUGGGACAACAUGUCCCAUUUACAAAGGGGUCCUAAACAG